rnacentral:rRNA from 1 species
GGGGGGGGGGGGGGGGGGGGGGGGGGGGGGGGGGGGGGGGGGGGGGGGGGGGGGCGGGCGGGUGGGGGGGGAGCGGGGGGCGGGGGGGUGGGGCGGGGGUAGCCGGCCGAUGAGACUGGGCGAAGUGCGGGACACCGGAGCUGGUACCGGGUGCUAUGUGGCACCGCAUGGUUCAAACGGUCAGGGCGGUCUUGCUGUCACUUCUGGAUGGAUCCGCGCUGCCUUAGCUAGUUGGUAAGGUAACGGCUUACCCAGGCAACGAUGCAGAGCCGACCUGAGAGGGUGAUCGGCCACACUGGAACGGAGACACGGUCCAGACUCCUACGGGAGGCAGCAGUAGGGAAUCUUCCGCAAUGGGCGAAAGCCUGACGGAGCAACGCCGCGUGAGUGAUGAAGGUCUUCGGAUCGUAAAACUCUGUUAUUAGGGAAGAACAUAUGUGUAAGUAACUGUGCACAUCUUGACGGUACCUAAGCAGAAAGCCACGGCUAACUACGUG